GAUGAACGCUGGCGGCGUGCCUAAUACAUGCAAGUCGAGCGAACGGACGAGAAGCUUGCUUCUCUGAUGUUAGCGGCGGACGGGUGAGUAACACGUGGAUAACCUACCUAUAAGACUGGGAUAACUUCGGGAAACCGGAGCUACUACCGGAUAAUAUUUUGAACCGCAUGGUUCAAAAGUGAAAGACGGUCUUGCUGUCACUUAUAGAUGGUUCCGCGCUGCAUUAGCUAGUUGGUAAGGUAACGGCCUACCAAGGCAACGAUGCAUAGCCGACCUGAGAGGAUGAUCGGCCACACUGGAACUGAGACACGGUCCAGACUCCUACGGGAGGCAGCAGUAGGGAAUCUUCCGCAAUGGGCGAAAGCCUGACGCAGCAACGCCGCGUGAGUGAUGAAGGUCUUCGGAUCGUAAAACUCUGUUAUUAGGGAAGAACAUAUGUGUAAGUAACUGUGCACAUCUUGACGGUACCUAAUCAGAAAGCCACGGCUAACUACGUG
rnacentral:rRNA from 1 species